AGGCGGGCUCGGCUGAAGUGAAACCGCGAGGGGAGUUUGGCGCGGGCGGAGAGCCUCUUCGUCGCCAGCGGAGACAGACCUCGCCGGGCGGUCGGGGAAAAGCCCAACGACGCCGGGGAACAGAGAGAGAGAGAGCGAGGCCGGUUGCCCGUCGCGGCUGCCGCUGCUUUUCUUCCCUCGCUGCCGUCGGGGCUUCGAGGCGGACCUGGCCAGCCGGCUACUGAUGCAUCCACGAGCACCCAACAGACAUUGAACGAAACAGUACCCCCCCCCCCAAAAAAGGCACCUUGAUGUGAUUGCUGAAAACUGCAUGCACAGAACAGCCUGAACAAAGUUCAGCACUUGAAAACGAAAAAUGGCGGAUAGCUAAAGGGUUGGUGUCACUCUGGAAACGACAUCAGCUGCCAUCAAUAGCGAGGGGGUUAAGCAUCCUGAGAAAUUGUUUGGAAUCUGGACCAAGACUACAGCUUGACUCCCACAAGAGAGAAGUAUGACGAGAAAACUGACGAUUAGCUGAGUGUUUGCCUGCAUCUGAGCCAAGGUCAGCCCGUAUGGGAGCAUCAACGCCAAUCGCUUAAGGAUCAGUGGUAAGAUUAGAGAUAUAUGCCUGGUGCUUGUGGGAAGUAAAGACACAUGGAAAAUUCGAUGUUCCCCCUUGACAGAUCGAGAUGGCAUGCCUUCAUUGCAGCGCUGAUCUGUUGCUAAUUCUUUAAGGUCUGAGCCCCAAUAUUCUUAUUAUUUAUGCAAAUUAUACACCGCCACUCAUCUAAAGAUCACAGGCUGGUUUACAGUAUAAAAAUAUUGAAGUUCAGUUGCCCGUUUCCUUACUUUGAAAAGAGGUCCAAGUCUAUCGGGAUAUACCUUGAGUUGGAGGCAAGCAACAGAAGAUAGAUCAGGAUCUGCUGGCAGGUUUCUGGAUGAGUUGCAGUAGAUCCAAG